rnacentral:tRNA from 1 species
AAACUUAGGAUAACCCCCUCAAACCGAAG